CUUCCCCUUAAGCGCUAACACACAGGUGGCCAAAAGGUAGAUUCUUAUACAUUCUCAUAUGUAGAAGAGAUACAACUCCUUUUAUGCUUUAUCACGCUAAAGGCUGGUAAAGCCUUAUCGGAGUUUCAGUUCUACAACAUCUGGGGAUCUACUUUUUGACUACACCUGCACCACCAGCAUGUAAGUAUAAUAUCUGACUAGAUUCCUUAUACUCCAAUUUAAUAUCUUGCAUAGGCAAACAUAUGUUCAUAUUAAAGGGAGAUUAUAGUCACCAGAACAACUACAGCAUGAUGUAGUUAUUUUGAUGCCUGGUGCCUGUCCCUGCAUGCUUUUUAAAGGUACACAAUUGGCACCCAGACUACUUCGCCUCAUUGAAGUGGUCAGAGUGCAAUACCCCUUUCCCCCUUGAUCCUGCAAUGUAAAUAAUGGCAGUUUUAGAGAAACUGCAAUGAUUACCUUGCUGGUCUAAGAUUGUCUCCAGUGGCUUUUAAUCAGAAAGCCACUAGAGGCACUUUCUGCUUGCAAAGCGACUUUUGGUUGCCUAACUGAUGUUGCACGUGUUCUCUGUAUGAGGACAUCCAGCAUAAGUUAAAUCCCCAUAGCGAUUUGAAAUUUAAAUGUUUUCCUAUGGGGGGGGCCUAAUACGCUCGCAGUGCUCGCCGUGCAUGUGCAUUAGCUCCCCGUCAGAUGAUGUUGGAGGAGGUGGAGCACUUACCCAGUGCCAAGGAACUUUGGCAAUGGAAUCGGUAAGUGUUAAAAGGUUUGUUUUUUUAAUCUUUGCAGUGCCGGAAUUCCUUUAAUGUAAAAAUUGCCUUUUUAGAAAACUGGCAGUGUGCAUUACUGCCUUGGGACACGUCUGGUGGCAGUCACCAAGAUGGCCACUAGAGUUGCUUCCUGGGUGACAUUCAGCGUCUCUACAUCCUGCAUGGAGGCACUGAAAGUUCCCCAUAGAGAUGCACUGAUGUUGUGCUGCUCAUGAGCAAUAGCCUCCCAUUGCUUGACAGAGAUUAUCAAGUUUGAUGAUCUCAGCCAAGGAGGCUACGCUGGAAAAGGUGAGUAAAAUCUCCUUUAACUUUUUGCACACUAAACAGACUGUUAUUUUAGAACUAUAGUGUGAGGAAUACAUGCUUGUGUUCUUGAGACUGUAGUGUUCUUAUAAUGACAGAUAUAAAUGAGUAUUUAGAGUUUUUAGACGGACACUAUAGUCACCAGAAUAACUACAGCUUAAUGUAGUUGUUCUGGUAUCUACUGCCUUUCCCUGCAGGCUUUUGAUGCAAACACUGCCUUUUCAUUACAACCUAGUAACAGCUCUAGUUGCUGUCACGCAGAUGACCACUAAAGGAACUUCCUGGGUCAGUGUUGUUCAUCGUCUCCACACUCUGCAAUGCAUCUCUAUGAGGAGAUGCUGAUUGGCGUAGAGCAGCGUUUUGCCACACGUGCAAUUAUCCAUUCAUUGCUCACCUAUGUGAAGAAUUGGAUUGAUGAUCUCAGUCAAGGAGAUGAAGUGUGGCUGGAAAUACAGUGAGUAAAACACCUUUUUAAAGAGGCACUGUCAUGGCCGAAUCCUGUUUUUCUUUUAACCCCCCCCCCCCGACUCCAUUACAUCUAAUUGACCCCCUAGUCACCCUCAAAUGCCCUUGAGCCCCAUAUAUUAUCUAUUUUGUAAAUCAUUAUUUUCUGCCUGGACCUAGGUUCUGGGCAUCGCCAUCUUUGUGUGGGUAGUAGAUGAAGCCCCUGUGGGACACGUCAUCUGCCCACACUAGAUAGCACUGUGAAAUUCCUGCACAUGCCCAGUUAAACUCUUGGGCAUGCGAACAGGAAUUUCAUCCAUUCAUUCAUCAGAAAGAUGAAUGAAUAGAAAUUUCACACGAACAAACAAACACCGAAUAUCGGUGUUUGUUUGUUCAGUUUAUUACAAGGAGGGAGCUACCGGCGCACAGCUCCCUCCUUGUAAAAUUUAAAGAUAGAAGCGGCAGAGAGCAGUGCUCCCCGCCACUUCCUAAGACCUCCAUGUCCUCCCUCUCUCUAUGGGGGUCAAUAUUGAAAUCUCCCGAAUGCCCCUACUUGAUAUGCCACGAGUAUGGGGCAUGUCUACUAAACAGUAGUUAGAAAGAAAACCUAGUACCCCCCUCCUGAGCCCCCACCCCUGCCGCAUGAGUGGGGGAUAUUAAACUGAAGGGGGGGACCUAAAGGAGAAUAUGGGGGGCCUAUUGUCCUUUGCCCUCGGUCCACACCCCUGAGCAGCAUGUGCGGGCCAUAAAUAACAAAAAGGGGGGGGGACUAUAGUCCUCCCCCCCGGCCCCCAUCCCUAUGUGGCGGGUGGGGGCCCUAAAGGAUAAUGGGGGGGACCUAUUGUCCUCCCCCCUGGCCCACACCCCUGAGUGGCGGGUGGGGGCCAUAAAUAACAAUAAGGGAGACACCUAUUGUCCUCCCCACGGCCCCCACCCCUGAGCGGCGGGUGUGGGCCCUAAAGGAUAAUGAGGGGGGGAACCUAUUGUCCUCCCCCACGGCCCCCACCCCUGAGUGGUGGGUGGGGGCCAGAAGUAACAAUAGGGGGGACCUAUUGUCCGCCCCCCAAGCCCCAACCCCUGAGCGGCAAGUGGGGGCACUAAAUAACAAUAAGGGGAGGACCUAUUGUCCUCCCUCUGGCCACCCCACCCCUGAGCGGCAGGUGGGGGCCCUCAAGGAUAAUGGGGGGGACCUAUUGUCCUCCCCCACGGCCCCCACCCCUGAGUGGUGGGUGGGGGCCCUAAAGGAUAAUGAAGGGGAGGGACCUAUUGUCCUCCCCCCUACCUCCACCCCUGAGUGGUGGGUGUGGUCCCCAAAUAAAAAAAUUAAUAAUCCUCUACCUACCCCCCUCACCCAAGAAAUAGUGAGGAGGGAAUAAAAGAACUAAGUACCUGUAAAAAAUAAUAAUUUUUGAGCCCCAAAAAAGGCUAAAUAAAAACCAUAAUACUCGUCAAACUUGUAAAAAAUAAAAUAAAAAACCCAAGCGCCCCAAAAAAAUCAGAUGAAAAAGAAAAAGCCUGACGUUAAAAAAUGAAUCCAUCUUCACCCGGCAAGGGCACGGCGUAGACUGAGCUCCACAGGGCGGGGAAAGGCUUAUAAAGCCUUCCCACGCCCUGCAAUUUGAUUUGGAGCACUCUGAGGUCCUCGAGUAGGGGCAGAAUUUAUUAAUACUAAGUAAUCUUUACUAAGUAUUAGUAAAUUUGGCUGAAAGACCAAUUUAGGUCUUUCAGCCUUUUGGUAGAUAGCUCCCUAAUACCAUGGGAAUUAGGGAGCUAUCCACUAAGUGGCUGCAAGCUGCAGCCGCGGCACGAAUCGGAUUGGAGUUUCAUUCAUUCAAAUGAAAUUCCGAUCCAAACAAAGUCCCGAAUUGCAUCCUAACAUGAAUGAACAAACUGUUCUCAUUCUGUUAGGACGCAAUUCGGUAGUUUCGCCGGCAUCCUGUCUAAGUGAGGAGUAAAACUAAGAAUUGUGGGGAAAUUUCUCUGACCACCGUAAAUGAUGCACACUUUGCUCCUCCGCUGGUCAGAGAUGGUCAGGUGUAGGACACCACCAUAAGACAAAUAGUCCCCACUUUGUCUUAUGUUUUAAAGAAAACUAGAGCAGAUGGGAAGAAAUGAACAGAUCCUGUGAGAGGGAGAGAAGAAUCGAUUAAAGAAAGAUAAGUUCGUCAUGCCAGUGCCGCUUUAACAGGGGGCUAAAAACCUAUACAGUGAUUUUACACCCAUAGUCUCAAGAAUACAUUUAAAUAAGUACUGCAUGCUGAAGCAUUGGUCUGCUCAGAAUGUAGCUAAUAUGUUAACGGAGUGAAACUUGAACCUUGAAGGAACUCUUUGGUCCCUUGGUGUGGACACCUCUAAUCGUCCCAUGAUGAUAUCUGGCUCUUAAGCAAAUGGGCAAUCCAAUGCUCCUCCAAAGAGGACCAUUGGAACUGAUGCACAUGCGCAGCGAGUAUCACAUGCACAUCCAAAUGCUUGUUGCAGAAAAGCAAUAAAUUCAGUGAACUGCAGCUUCACAUGUUUUAGAUGAUUGUUGUAGAGGAAGUGCCUCUAGUAACUGCCUUAAAGAUGAUGAUGCUUGCCCUGUUAGUCUAUAAUGAAUGCAACAGCAAGGCUCAUCUUCCUGUCCGCUCGCACCUCCUAGACAUCCCCCUUUGUCAGUCCCUACAUUGGCUUCCCGUUAGAUAUAGGCGCAAUUUAAAAUUCCGGUACUUACUUACAACUCUCUAUAUAAUACUGCUUCAAUCUACCUAUCCUCCCUAAUACACAAGUAUGUCCGUUCUAGGCCCCCAGGCUCUGCGGAAGACCUGCAUCUAUUAUCUGUUCAUACUCCCAUCUUAAAGACUUCUCUAGGGCUGCACCGUUCUUGUGGAACUCCCUUCAUUCUCCAUUAGACUCUCACCCAGUGUCCAUUCCUUCAAAAAAAUCAUUAAAAGUUCACUUUUGCAUGAAAGUAUAUGAAUUAAACUGUUAACAGCUUUCCCUUCCUGUACCCUGAUUUCUCUUCUGCAACUAUAAUUAAAAAAAAAAAAAAAAAAAAGAUAGUAAAUACUCUUCUAACAACCUACUUUUUUACCCGUUCUCUUACCUUUUGUGUCUCUAUACUCCACUCCCUCUUGUGCCACUAUACUCCACUCCCUCUUGUGUACUGUUAAUAUACUCCCUCUAGCAUGUGAGCAGGGCAUAUACAUAGUGGUGUCACUUGGGUUGGUAUCACCUGGUGCGGUAACUCAAGGUGUCACCCCCACCACCCUUAAUAAUGUGAUUUUAGUUUUUUUGUUUUUUACUAAUGUAAUUCGUAAAUCAUAACUCCCAUAUAACACUGCCCUCUUCAUCAAACCCCUGCCAUCCCUUUCAUCAAGUUCCCUGCGCCCCUUCAUCAAAACCCCAGCCCACUUUCAACAGUCCCCUGCCCACUUUCACCAGUCCCCACCCCCAUUCACCAGUCCCCAGACUCCCUUUACCAGUCCUAUACCCCCCUUCACCAUUCCCCUUUACCAAUCACCUGCCCCCCAUUACCAAUCCCCUGCCCCCUUCAUCAAAUCCCCAGCCCCCCUUCACCAGUUCCCUGCCUCCCUUCACCAGUCCCCUUUACCAAUCCCCUGCCCACUUUACCAAUCCCCUUUACUAAUCCCCUGCCGCCAUCAGGGGGUGACAACCAUGAUGGCCAGGCCCCACGUGGAGCGGCGAAACUGCCGCAGGUGCAUCUGCACCGGGGCCCAUCAGGUGGCCCAAGCAUUUAGGGACACCCGAUGAGCUCUAUAUCUUCAGGGGCCUGGUCAGCGCUGCAGCCGUGUAAUAGCGCGACCGGGCCCCUUUAAAAACGGCUGGUCACUUCCUCCCAGCUUACUUCGCGUGGGGGGAGAGACAGCCGAAAUCUCUGUGUAUAUGUAUGUGUCUGUAUGUAUGUAUGUGUAUGUAUGUCUGUUUGUCAGUAUGUAUUUGUGUAUAUAUCUAUGUGUGUAUGUAUAUAUGUCAGUAUGUAUGUCUGUGUGUGUGUGUGUGUGUGUGUGUGUAUGUCAGUAUGUAUGCCUGGAUGUAUGUGUGUAUUUAUGUACAUAUCUAUCAGUAUGUAUGUGUGUCUGUAUGUCAGUAUGCAUGUAUGUCUGUGUGUGUGUAUGUAUGUAUGUAUGACAGUAUGUAUGUCUGUAUGUAUGUGUGCAUGUAUGUCUGUGUAUUUGACUUUUGCUUUGUUUUGACUUCCCUGAUAUCUGGUGUCCUUGACUUUUGGCUUUCCCUCAUCUUUGUGUCUGAUUCUGUGUCCCUGACCUCGGCAAGUAUUUUGACUAUUCUUGGAGACGUUCAGUCCGGCCAUUCUAAGGUCCAGUUAUACGUUAUCCUUAGUCCUAGGUAUGACACAAUACUGCGUGCAAAAUCAACUUGUAAUCCUGAUAUUACAACAUGGCCAUAGAUCCUGCAGAAUUGUGUCAGCACAUAGCUGCUUGCUAGAGAAAGCUAGAGGAGAACGAUCAUCAUAUGGAUCAAUUUGCCCAUUCUUUUAGCACGCUCCUUACUAGGACGGCUCAUUUACAGCCUGAGGUUUCUUCAAUUAUGUCACCACUGCCUAAUGUACCUCCACCUAUAGAAUAUAAGGCACCUACGAUCUCAUCUCCUUCCCUGCAUUUUUCUGGUAAUAUCCAGGAAUGUUGGGGAUUUCUCAAUCAGACUUCUCUAGGGCUUCUCUAGGCCUCACCUGGUUCAUUUCCUUCAGAUAGAGUGAAGAUUGGUUAUCUGAUGAACUAACUUAUAGGUAGGGCCUUAACCUGGGCUAAUCCAUUGUGGGAAAGUAAUAGGAGUAUCGCUCAUUGUUACCAGGAAUUCCUGGCGGCUUUCAAACUGACGUUUGAACCAUUAGGCAGUGAGGAAGACGCCUCCACUGCCUUAAUGCAUAUCAAACAAGGGAACCGGAUUUUUGUACCUGAGGUAGACUGAACUAACAACGGAUUAAUUGCUGCUUUUAAAAAAGCAUUAUCCGAAGUUAUACUUGAUGAAAUUGCUGCCAAAGACCUACCUAAUGGGUUAAAUGACUUUAUUACCUAUGUGAUGCAGAUCAAUAGUAGACUCAGGACCAGGGAAAUUACUAGAAACAUUACUAGACGUUUGAAUAUGUCACUAGCACCUCGAUUCUCCAAACCGGUUGUCCCUGACCUCUCGACGCUGUCUGAACUCGAACCUAUGCAGUUAGGGGUUACAGGACUAUCUGAGGCAGAGAAACACUAUAGGAGAAGAGAAGGUCUGUGCUUAUAUUGUGGCAAGAAAGAGCAUAUGGGAGGUGCUUGUCCUAUAGGAAAACCUCCUCACCUAAGAACCUUAAGGGGACAGGUCUUAGGUGUAAUGGAUACGUCCGCUAGUAAUUCCCGAAGCAGAUUUCUCCUUGACAUUUCCGCCUUUUGCAAAGAGGAGAACUUUUCAUGCAAAGUCCUGGUUGACUCAGGUGCGGCUGGUAACUUUAUUGAUUUGUAUUUUGUUAAAAAACACACUAUACUUGUCAAGGAGAGAUCAUCACCUCUAGCGGUUGAGGCUAUUGAUGGGAGACCCCUAUUAUUACCCAUGAGACCUUGCCUAUUUGCAUUACGAUAGGAGCUUUGCAUAAGGAAGACAUUACUUUCCAGAUAAUCACUUCUCCUUCUUGUCCCAUCAUAUUAAGGUUCCCUUGGCUCAUCAAGCAUAACCCUCAUAUUGACUGGACUAGAGGGGAACUACUGGAAUGAUGUAGAGACUGUCAGGAAAGCCGCAUGUUACACAUUUCUAAAAAAGUGGGCAUCGUUGCUUUACUCUCCGCUUCGUCUCUGACUCCCGAAAUUCCCAUACAGUAUUGAGAGGUUAGUAAAAGGCAGACUAAUGCUCUUCCUCCACACAGAUCUUAUGAUUAUUCCAUUGAUCUGUUGCCUGGGGCUAUGCCUCCUAAAGGAGCGGUAUAUGCCCUAUCCCCACAAGAAAGUAAAAUCAUGAAUGGGCACAUCAAGGAAUCUUUAAGUAAAGGCCAUAUACGUAAAUCAUCCUGGCCUGCUAGUGCAGGGUUCUUUUUUGUAGCUAAGAAAGAUGGAGAAUUACGACCUUGCAUCAAGGAAUCUUUAAGUAAAGGCCAUAUACGUAAAUCAUCCUGGCCUGCUAGUGCAGGGUUCUUUUUUGUAGCUAAGAAAGAUGGAGAAUUACGACCUACAGGGCAUUAAACAAGAUUACUAUCAAAAAUGCCUAUCCCAUUACCCUUAUAUCCAAAUUGUCCAAAUACUCUAGGGUGCUAAGUUCUUCACUAAGCUUGACCUUAGGAGUGCUUACAAUUUGGUGAGAAUUAGGGAGGAUCAUGAAUGGAAGACCGCGUUUAACACUAGCAAAUAUCUUAUUAUGCCCUUCGGGUUAUGUAAUGCUCUGGCUGUAUUUCAAGACUUCCUUAAUGAUGUACUCAGAGACUAUAUUUACUCUUUUGUGCUUGUAUACCUGGAUGAUAUCCUUAUUUAUUCCCCCGACAUCCAAACUCAUCAUGAUCAUGUCAAACAAGUUUUACAAACUUUGCUAAAAAAUGGUCUUUAUUGUAAACUUGAGAAAAGAGUAUUUGAUCAACAUGAGGUUCAGGUUUUAGGGUAUUACAUUUCUGCCUCUGGUUUCCAAAUGGAUCCUCGCAAACUAGAGGCUAUUCUACAAUGACCAUACAGAGGUUUAUUAGUUUCUCUAACUAUUACAGGAGAUUCAUCAAAAGUUUCUCUUCGGUAAUAGCUCCCAUCACCAAUAUAACAUGCAAGGGGGCUAAUUGUACAUUAAGGCCUAAAUAAGCUAAAGAGGCUUUUGAGCUUCUUAAACAAAUGUUUGCAUCUGAUGACAUAUUAGGACAUCUUGACACUAGUAAAUCUUUUCUACUUGAGGUUGACGCCUCUGAGACAGAAGUCGGGGCUGUUCUUUUUCAGAGAGACAGUCAAGAUGCAGUUUCUAAGGUUCCUCAUAAACUUUCGUGUGGUUUAUUAAAGCCACUUCCUUUGUCAAUGGAUUUCAUUGUUGAACUUCCUAGUUCCAGUGGUUAUACCAUUAUUUACAUGGUCGUUGACCGCUUUUCCAAGAUGGCACACUUUACACCUCUUAAAAAAUUGCCUUCACGUAUUUAUACGAGAUAUUGUCAGACCGCAUGGUAUUCCUCAAAAUAUUGUUUCUGACAGGGGUACCCAGUUUGUGUCAAGAUUCUGGUGGGCAUUCAGUAAACAGUUAGGCAUUUAAUUGUCUUUUUCCUCUGCUUACCAUCCCCAGACUAAUGGGAUGGCCAAAAGAGCUAACCAAUUGCUUGAACUGUAUUUACGUUGCUUCAUGAACAGUACUCAGUCUAAGUGGGCUUACUUGUUGCCCUGGGCAGAAUUUGCUAGAAAUAAUGCCACACAUGACUCCUCUGUGCAUAAUCCCUUCUUUGUUAAUACUGGUCAUCACCCUGCUGUUCUUCCUGCUGGAUUUUCUGACACGGUUAUUCCUGCUUUGGAUGAUCACCUUACCUCUAUUCGUGAUACUUGGACCAAGGUUCACUCCACUCUUGAAACUGCGGCUGCUCACUUUAAGUUUCAUGCCGAUAAACGGCGGAGUGCCAAUCCGGUUUACCAAAUGAGUGAUCAGGUAUGGUUGUCCUCACGCAACAUCAAGUUGAAAGUCCCCAGCAUGAAGUUUUCUCCGAGCUUUCUUGGUCCUUUUUGUGUGGUUAGGAGAAUUAACUCUGUUUCUUAUGCUUUGGCUUCUUUUGCUCAAGCCACUUAUUUACAAUACAAGUAUAAGUAUAAUACAAGUAUAAGUCCCUGUUGUUCCCCCUCCUCCUUUGAUCGUUUCUGGACAGGAGGAGUACGAGGUUGCCUCCAUAAUUGAUUCCAGGUUCUCUUGUGGUUUGUUACAAUAUUUGGUUGAUUGGAGGUGGUAUUGACCUGCCGACCGUUCUUGGGUUCCUGGUUCAGAUAUCCAUGCCUGUCGUAAAGUACGUCCUUUCCAUGCCAAGUUUCCUCUCAAACCUGGUCCUGCCCGCACGGUGGGCGAUCUUCAGGUGGGAGGUAAUGUCAUGUAUUCAGCUGCACAUAUAAGUGUUAUUGAUGGUAUUUACUGUAUUUACAGGUCACUGGGCACAACAUAGGGGUAGUUGGAAAACUCGGAUACGAGACUGAACGUAUGGCCGUCUUAGCCCUUCUGGACAUAUUAAAUGUCACCCCGUCCGGGGUGAAAGAUCUUGCAUCGUGGUCCAGGGCCCGGACCUCUGAGACUCGUUUGCACGAAAUGAGACAGAACAGGGAUACCAACUUGGCAGAGAGUUGUUGCAGGGUGAGGUCCGAAUUGGGCGGCCAGGAGGAAAACAGUGAUAGGACGCAGGAGACGUCCCAUGUGGCUGUGUAUCGAGGUCUGGGGGGACGCGAUAGGCGUGAACCCUUAAGUAAGCGGCACACCAAGGGGUGUUGGCCUGCUGGGCAGCCGUUGAAACCGUCGAGUUGUGUCCGAAACUCCUUGACUUCCCAGGCAGUGGCGGAUCCAGGGGGGGGCAACUGGGCAAUUGCCCCCCCCGAGAAAUCCGCCGGUCUCCCUCUUCCUCCCCUGCCAGCAGCACAUGCAGGCGCUAGCCCUGCAAUGUGCCUGCGGACCGGGGGGGAGAUCAGAGAUUUCCCUCCCCGGUCCGCAGGCACUGUGCUGAGAGCCGGCAGGGGAGGGAGAGGGAGUGAGAGGGAGGCGAGAGAGGACCCGGAGUCCUCCUCGUGUGAUUUGAAGCGUUGCUGCGGUUACCACUGCAACGCUCCAAAUCUCGCGAGAGUGAACUCUAGCCCUGGAGCGCGGGUUAGAGUUCACUCUCCCCACUGGGACCACCAAUGAAUCGCCCACCGGACCACCAGGGAACGAAAUAUGUCCCCCCUCCUCCCCAGUAAAGGUAAGAAGGGAGGGGGGACAUAGGAUAUUUAUUUUAAUUAAAUUAAAAAAAAAUAUAUUAUAAAAAAAAAGCCACACACACAUACAUUGCCCCCAAUACUGCCCCCCCUAUACACACAAACUGCCCCCAUUCACACAAACUGCCCCCAAUACACACANNNNNNNNNNNNNNNNNNNNNNNNNNNNNNNNNNNNNNNNNNNNNNNNNNNNNNNNNNNNNNNNNNNNNNNNNNNNNNNNNNNNNNNNNNNNNNNNNNNNUAGUGGUUAUUGUGUCUGGAUUAUUUCUUUAAAUAAUCUACAAGUGCCCCUCCCAAGAUCAGGCUCUGGAUUCGCCACUGUUCCCAGGGACCCCCGAAAUCCUACAUGCGAGUAGCCGUAACGAUCCGUCCAGUAGGAGGGGAUGUUGUUUGCCCAAAGGGUUCAGCAGAAGGUCCCGGUGGGACGGCAGAAGUGCGGGGAUGUCUAUUGCCAGUUCCAAGAGUUGUGGGAACCACGACUGGGUACCCCAGAAUGGGGUUAGCAGGACCAAGUCCGCAAUCUGGUGUCGUACUUGGAGUAGCACUCGGGGGAUCAUGGCAAAUGGAGGGAAAGCGUAAAGGAGUGCAUCGGACCAGUCUUGCAGGAAGGCGUCCACUGCUUCCGCGGCCGGGUCUGGGCGCCAGUUGUAGAACCGGGGUAGUUGGGCGUUGAUCCUGGAAGCGAAGAGGUCGAUGGCCAAGGGUCCCCAAAGGGACGAGAUAGUGGAGAACGCCUCUGUAUCCAAUUUCCAAUCGCUGCUGUCUGAUAGAUAGCGUGAUCUCCAAUCCGCAUGGGUAUUGUGAAGACAGGGGAGGUAUUCCGCCUGGACCAUCAGGUCCCUGGCUAAACAAUAGGUCCAGAAAUCUUUCACCAAACGGGCCAGCAUUGCUGAGCGUGUGCCGCCCAGAUGGUUGACAUAGCGAACUGCUGAGAUGUUGUCCAUACGCAGCCUGAUGCACGCACUGGCCGUCCCGUUCACAAAACUCCGGAUCGCAAAGGAACCGGCUAGUAGUUCCAGGGCAUUGAUGUGGAGCCGGGACUCGGCUUCUGUCCAGCGACCCCCGGUAGUCACACCACUGCAGUGGGCGCCCCAGCAAUGGAGACUUGCAUCUGAGUCCACCGUGAAUUCCGGUUGUAAGCCGAAGAUGGCCUUGCCAAUCCAGGCGGAUAGGUAGUGGAUCCACCAGGUCAUCACAUCUCGGGAUUCCAAGUCCAGGGAGACCAAAUCUGCAUAUGAGGCCCCUUUGCGAAGAUGUGUUAUCUUCAGACGUUGGAGGGCCUGAUAAUGGAGCGGGGCUGGGAACACUGGCUGGAUAGAGGAGGCCAGUAGGCCAAUAAGUCGUGCCAGGUGCCGCAGCGACAGCUGGUGGCGUGCCAGGGCGCGUCGCAGUUCCUUGCGGAUUGAGCGUAUUUUGGCCGGAGGGAGACUGAGAGACUCCGCUUCCGAGUCCACCGUGAAUCCUAGGAACUCCAUGUGUUGGGAAGGGGAUAGGCAGGAUUUUUCCCCAUUGAGCAGGAAGCCCAGCCGACAUAGUAGGUCCAUCGUCCAUUGUAGGUGUUCUAGGAGGACCCCCCGAUCUUGUGCCAUGAGGAGGAUGUCGUCCAAAUAGACUAUCAGUCUUACCCCUCGACUGCGCAGCCAAGCCAUGGCAGGUCGCAUCAACUUGGUGAAGCACCACGGAGCUGACGAGAGCCCGAAAGGGAGGCAUGUGAAUCAACACAUUUCGCCUUUCCAGAGGAAUCGUAGUAAGUCCCUGGACGACUCGGUCCCCAGGACUGUCAAGUAAGCAUCUUUGAGGACUAAUUUCGCCAUCCAGUCUCCGCGUAGGCGUAAGUCCCGUAGGAGAUGCAUGCCCUCCAUCUUGAAGUGGCGGUAGCGCACUAUGGAGUUUAGGGCCCGAAGGUUGAUAACAGGGCGCAUCUGGCCGCCUUUCUUUUCCACAAGGAAGAUGUUGCUGAGAACACCAGUAUGGGGCAUCGAAGCUCGUUCUAUCGCUCCCUUCGUGCGGAGUGACAAUAGCUCCUCUUCUAUUAAGGCUCGGUUUGCCCUUGAAAGUACCAUAGGGUGAGGGGAAGGAAUAUGACACGGGGUGUCUACCAAUUCUACGUGAAACCCCCUCACAGUGGCCAGAACCCAGGAAUCUGAGGUGAUGUCUAACCAGGCAUGGAAAAAAUGACGGAGUCUGCCCCCCACACAGAUAUUGGAAAAAACAUGAGGUAGUCUUACCGUAAGGGCGUCUGGAACCGGGGUUCCCUCUGAAGCCUCUGGAGCACCAUGGUCUUCCACGAGACGGGAAGAAGGGGGACUGGUGUCUCGUGUCCUGAUAAGGUGGUCUCUGAUUAUAGGAGCCUCGUCACGAUCCUCGGGAGUUGAAAUUUGACCGGCCAGACAGACGGCCCCUGAAUCUGCCGGCCCUGGUAGAGACCCAUCCCUGAAAUACCCUCUUCAUGGAGGACUGGGCCUUGUCUAGGGCUGUGAAAGCACCUACAAAGCGCCCCAAAUCCUUGAUAAAGGAGUCUCUGAAUAAUAGGCCCUGGGCAUCUUUGCCCGCUUCAGUGAGGGUGAGGUUGGCCAAUUUUGGUUCAAUUUUGAAGAGGAUGGCUUUACGCCGCUCUUUAGACAGGGAAGUGUUUACCCUCUGCACCCAACCGCGGAGUUCUUCCGGGUCGACCUGUCUGUUUUCCGUUCUGGCUAGUUCGACCAGGUCAAAUUACUAAGGGGGCGCCGUACCCAGUUCUCCAGGUACUUGGCUACAUGGGCGCCAUUCUGCUGACCUCGGAUGAUGGAGAGCAUCCGGAUCAAACAUAGGUUCCCCAGACGGGUCCAUGAGGGUCGAACCCACGGUAGCGGGGGAGUCACUGCGCCAGCCACUAAUUACCAACCCAGAUAGGGCAGGGGCUAAAGGGUCAUUGUCCUGCCCGUCAGUCUCAUCAUUGGAGUCAUCUAAGGACUCAUCUCCAGCACAAGACCCGAUUUCUGAGUCGGAGUCGCUCUCUGCAUCUGCUCUGGCACAUUUCCAGUGACGCGCCCAUUCUGCCUGGCGCGGAAAGGCUCUCUUGCAUGACAUAGGCAUGCUGUCAUGGGUGGAUAUUUUCACACCAGUCUUAAUGUUUCUGGAGGCGGGGGUGCUUAGAUGCCUAGAUUUGGUCGUGGCUUUUCUAGGGAUGUCCCCUGAGGGGUUCAAAGAGGAACACGCUAAGCGCGUUGGCGAGGCGGAUGCUUCUGCGGGCACAGGGCAUGUGUCACGGUUCUCGCCACAUCAAACAGACGGCUAGACAUGGUCACCCGUGGAGAUCCCAACAAGGGACUUGAACCGGGGAACUUUGCAGUCCUGGUCCUGCUUCCUACCUCUGAGCCACAGCAGCUUUUGUAUUCUGCAAGUCAUUCCGGUCCUGUUCAUCCUGGCUUGUCUAUCACUCUGGGGGCUGUACCUUGAAUUUGGCUGUGCUGCACUUGAACCUGAUCAGACAUUAGCAGGGUAUUUAUACUCAGCCUCGCCCUGUGAUCAGGAUCAAGUCUUUGAUCCUGUUGUGUGCUUUGUACCAGUGUUCCUGUUGUUUGAACUGCUACUUGUUAUUGACCCCGGCUUCUGACUACGUUUACUCUGACCUCUGGCAUCCCUUGACUUUGGCUACUCCUCGUUGUUCCUGUCUUCUGGCAUCCUUUGACCUCGGCUAUCCUUUGACGAUCCUGCUGUUUGAGUCCUUGCCUGUCCUGCGACUUGGUACUUCAUCCUGCACAGCCCCCGUGCACAGACCCACAGGCUGGGUGAAUUCUUACCUGACCACCUUGGCCUGUGGCUAUCUGCAAGGGUGAGCAACAUAUCUGCGCUACAGACUCCCAACCCAGGUAAGAUCCUGACAGCAUGCCAGUAAAGCCUGAGAUAUAGUUUGGGAAAGGGCCGAGGACAUAGAGCCCAUGGCGGCCAUAAUGGCGUCUGUAACAGAACGUUGCAGUGCUAGGGCCUGGGCAUCAUCAGGCACCGACAUAGGGUCACCCGCAGAGGACGGGGGGGCAGAGCUGGCCGAGUUAGGGUUAUCCAGCUCACGGGGUACAUCCAUAUCCCCAAGGGGGAGUGGGGUAGCAGACCCAUUAGAUUUAGGCAUAAUGACUAUAUUAAGUAUCCCAGAGACACAAGUAAAAAAAAUUUAUAUAUAGUAAUAUGAGCUGCUGAGUGAAUAAAAUAAGAAUAAACUGAUAGAGGAAGCCUCAACUAGCAGGAGUUAAUCACCCCAGGCUAGUUAUGCUAAUAGGAGAUAAAUUAGGGAGCUCUCCAGGGUCCAGAUCGGCAGAGGCCACGAGGAGUGGCAAGGAGAGUGAGUGAUAGAAAAUGGCUGCCCUCAAUCUCGCGAGAUUCGCGGCGGAAUUCUAACAGAAAAACGGAAAAAGAACCGAACGUUCGGCUGAAAACAGCGAAUACAUAUGGAGCCAUAGAGGGGAACAUAGAAAGGUGCGAAUUAGGCAGCCAUUCGCAUAGAAAUUUGAACGCGGCAAACGGCGAAUAGGCAAGUGAAUAAGGUAAGCUAGCGAAUAGAGGAAUUCGUGAGAAUGGCCAAAUAGUAUAGGGUAUGAAGGAGGAGAAGAAAAACUGCCGAACAGGAUGACGAGAAUAGGCGCAAAGGGCGCCAAAGUGACUGGCAGAACGGCAGAUAAGAGAAAAUGUAAUGGAGGGAGGAAAAAAGUCUCGAGAGCUUUACAAAGGAUACAAGUGAAAGGUAGAUAUCGAGCUAAAGCUGGAAAAAGGGGGGGGGGGGUCUGGAACCCUGGGCUCAAAUAAAACUACAUAAUAAUCACCAAAACAUAUGAAGAAACUGCAAGUGAAUAACCAGUGAAUAGUACAAAUUGACAGGUAGAGAAUUACUGUCAAAAGUGACAAUAAGCAGUAGACAAAACCAUAAGUAAUGAUAAGGAGAAAAAAUAGACUGUACUUAUCUGUUUGGUAGCAGCAAAGAAAGAGGAAUUGGGUGGGGAGGUGCUGCCUAUUAUACUGGGACUUGAUAUGGGAGUGACCUAUCACUAUGGUUACCGUUUUUUCUUACUGUUUGUAUUCUUUGCUGCUAUUGGUGGACAGUAAAGAAAGGGAUAUGCAAUAUGAGCCUCUGUGCAGUGGCGUGCACAUGACCCAUGGGGCCCCGGUGUGAAAAUUGAUCCGUGGCCCCCCCCCCACCGCGCUUACUCGGCACAGGUCAGGGCCGCAACACAUGGCGGCGGGCACCUGGUCGCAGGGGUUGCAGGGCUGCGACCCCACGACCGCGGUAUGCACACACACACUUAAAGGACCACUACAGACACCCAGAUCACAUCAGCUCAAUGAAGUGGUCUGGGUGCCAGGUCCCUCUAGUUUUAACCCUGCAGCUGAAAACAUAGCAGUUUCAGAGAAACAGCUAUGUUACACUGAGGGUUAAUCCAGCCUCUGGUGGCUGUCUCAUUGACAGCUGCUAGAGGAGCUUCCGCGAUUCUCACUGUGAAAAUCACAGUGAGAAGACACUGAACGUACAUAGGAAAGCAUUGAGUAAUGCUUUCCUAUGGGCGGUUUAAAUGCGCGCGCGCCUCUUGCCGCGCAUUUGCACUCGGAGCUGAGAGGUGGAGGGAUUCCCAGCGCCAAGGGAGUCCGACGCUGGAGAAAGGUAAAUGCUGAAGACACACACACACUCUCACGAACAGACGCAUACACACUAGCUAACAGACACACACAUUUCCUGACAGAGACACACUCAGCGACAGACAUACAUACACACUCACUUACAAAACAUACACUUUCACUGACAAACACACACUAACAGACAUCAAACACACACAGUAACACACUCACUAGCAGACACACACCCAAUAACAGACACACACACAUACACUAACACACAAACACUAACACACACACACUAACACAAACAUUAACACACUAACACACACACACACUAACACACAAACACUAACACACACACACACACUAACACAAACAUUAACACACUAACACACACACACAAACACUAACACACACUAACAUACACACACUAACACACACACUAACAGACACCACAAACACACACUAACAAACAUUUUUUUUAAAAUUUAAUCCCCCCAGCCUCCUUACCUUUUGGAGUGCUGGAGGGAUUCCCUGGGGUCCAGUGGUGCUGCUGGGCGGGCUGGCUGUCUGGGUGGCCGGCGCGCGAGGGAGCACUCUGGAUGCCGGCGGUGCGCGAGGGAGCUGAAGAGGAAGCACUCAGGGGAGAGUGCUCCCUCGCGCGCCGGCCACCCAGACAGCCAGCCCGCCCGCCGGGGUCAGCAGGGCCAGCCUCGGGGGGGGGCCCUGAGGUGGCCGCCUCCUGGGCCCCCAGGAGAAGAGGCUGGCCCUGUGGGUACAUACCGGGUUGCAGGGGCGGCCAGGCCCCAUGGUGGGCUGGGCCCGGUCGCAGCCGCAACCCCUGCGACCCUGGUAUGUACGCCACUGCCUCCGUGUCUUGACAUAAAAUUACAAAUUUACUUGUAUUGCACUCUGCCAUCUACUUUUUUUAAAUGGUUUAACGCUAAAUGGAAUGAUGGUUCCAGGGAAUUCUUGACACGAAGCAGUCAACUGAGAUGAAGCAGUUACAGUGCCUACUGUGUUUCUUUAAAUUUGAACUGCAGAGAGCGGCAAUAUUGUGAAUAUCCCAUGUAAAUUGCUUAUCUGGUAAUAAAAGUUAUGAGAUUGGUAUAGAAUAGGACCUUGCAGACAAUAUGGGAUUAGAGGAAGACAUUAUGGGAUCCUUGCAGUGUGUUAAAUAGAAUGUCCUUUUGUGCACACAGUUAACAGAGGAGGUCGGGCUGCACACUGUUCGACAGAGGUACUUCAACAGACACAUUGUUUUCAUUACUGGGACCACUAAUGGCAUUUAUGACUGCUGGUGUUGUUUGACCUGCCAACUACUGAUGUCCAUAGAAUCUGUAAGUCCCUUUUGGUUCCGGUUUACAUAAGGCUCUACAUCCUUAAAGGUAAAGUAGAAGUGGAUAUAGGCAUUGUGCGCAUGUUAAUGCUCACUAUUUAUUAUCUAUUAUCCUUCCAUAUCUUCAUCCCCCUUAUGUUCCCAUCAUCCCCCUUAUGUCCACCCAGAUGAUACAUAACUCUGUAUUAUAAACUAUUAUGAGCACAUGAUUUUUCACCCUGCAAAUCCAGGCCCCUUCCCAGACAUCUAAUGCAGCAGCGGUGCAAAGGCGCAUCAUUUGCUCGCUCCCACCCCUUGCCCUGUACGUAGGGACAGGUGGGCGGGAGGACAGCAUGAAGUGGGUCUCAGAGGGUCAGUGUGUGUGUGUCUGCAUGGGCCAGUGUGUUUGUAUGUAUGUGACUGUAUGGGUCAGUGUGUAUCUGUCUGCUUGGGUAAGUGUGUGUCAGCCUACAUAAAUUAGUGUAUUUGUGUCAGUCUGCUUGGGUCAGUGUGUGCAGUUUACAUAGGUCAGUGAGUGUAUGUGUGUGUCUAUAUGGAUGAGUGUGUGUUUCUUUAUGGGUCAGUGUGUGCGUGUGUGUGUGUGUUCAUCAGUCUGCGUGGGUCAGAAUGUGUGCAUCAGUUUGCAUGGGUCAGUGUAUGUGUGUGUGUGUGAGUCAGUUUGUAUGGGUCAGUGUGUGUGUGUCAGUUUGAAUGGGUCAGUGUGCAUGUGUGAAUCAGUCUGCAUAGGUGGGUGUAUAUGUGUGUGCCAAUCGCCAUGGUUUAGUGUGUAUGUCUGCUUGGGUCAGUGUGUGUCAGUCUGCAUGAAUCAGUGUGUGUCUACUUGAGUCAGUUUGUAUGUUUCAGUCUGCAUGAGUGGAUGGAGCGAAUGAGGCGGCAAAAAUCCUUGCACCGGCCCUGAUUCUUGGAUAUGGUUUUGUGUCAGCUAAGGCAAAGUUAAGGUUUUAUUAAUUUUUAAGACAUUUUUUGCUUUAAAAAAAUGAUCUGCUAAAUGAAUACAUGCUUUGAACCUUGCCUCUGUAACCAAGGUACCAUUACUAUUUUCAGAAGUAAAUUAUUUUUUCUUUUCAUUCUUUUGCUAUUCAAAUAGGAUUUAACACAGCUUUUGUUUGCUAUAAUUUUCUAAUUUUCCACUGGAUAAUCUGAUUAUUUCUUUUUAAUAACAGUGGCUUUCAAAUACUACUAACCCUUCUGACUUAACCCUUCAUGGCAAGGGUGUAAGCAACCUAAUUUAUAUCAAGUCCUGGCAAUCUGGCACUAACAGGUUAAAAUAUUUUUAAAAGAGAUAUAUAUAUAUAUAUAUAUAUAUAUAUAUAUAUAUAUAUAUAUAUAUAUAUAUAUAUAUAUAUAUAUAUAUAUAUAUAUAUAUAUAUAUACACAUAUACAUAUAUAUAUAUAUAUAUACACAUAUACAUACCAUUAUGUUCUACUUUUUCAUUUUUAUCCAAAUGCAUAAAACUUCUCUUAAUUGAUUUGAGAAAAGAGUUGAAAUUAAGAGCUCUAGUAAAUCUAUACAUCGUAUAAAUACACUUCAAAAUUAUCCCUGUUUAAAAACUCUUUUCUUACUUGAAUACUUACUUUGCAAAGUCUUUGAGCAGUCUAUGAUUUCCAAAUCCAGAUUCAUUACUGGUUCUGCUCACCCACAAAUUUAAACAUGAAAAUACUUUUGUACAUAUCCCCAAAAAACCAAAAAAAUAAAAAAAUUAUACCUGUUACCAAAACCUCCAUUUUGAUAUUGGAUGGGAAAUUAAUUGUUUUACCUAUGCAAUUCUUAGUGAAUAUUCCCCUAGACAUACAGAGCUAUACAUAUAUGCAUUAACCUAUAAAUGUAUUGCAUACUGAGACAUUGAUUUAAUAACAUAUAUUAUCCUAUAUCAGUCUGAGGGGGAGGAUUGUUAACUAGCUGUUAGUACAAAGCUAUUGACUUUUUCUGUCUUUCUUUGAUUCCUCACUAGAGCUUCACGGUUUUCUCUCUUAAUCCUGUAUUAGCCUGUGAGAUAAAUCUGUCUGUUGGACAGAUAGGGAGAGGUUGAUAAUGGGUUUGGCCGUUUGCUUUUGUACCAGAUUCAAUUUAGACUUAGGAGUUCUUGAGAUCUGGAUGAGAGAGAGCUAGCUCUGCAGUCGAGAGUCACCAGUAGGGUGAUUUCUGUAAUUUAGGGUCACCAUUGGGGGGAUGUCUGUUAUUAGGUCAGUUAGUCAGGGAGACUCUCAGUGAGUCUACAGAUGGAUUUAUUAUCUGUUUAGCUAUUUAGAAGGGAUUUAAAGUGUGAUACACUUUGUCCCUUAUUGGAUUCUCCUAUGUUAAAAGUGUUAAUCCUGCUUUCCUUGGUCCUCUUAUUAUUUUUAUAGCAUAAGAUUUAUGACUUGCAAUGAACAUUUUACCGAAUGGAGUAUGAUGCAAAUGUUAUAAGAAUGUAGGAUUUGUAUGUUUGUUAUUAAUUAACUCAAUGAGCUAUGUUUGCUGUGACAGAAUUUGUAAUCUGAACGAGUGAUUACAUUUUAAAUGAGCCUGGUACAAUUUUUUAAAAGACCGGGACUUUGCCUUAGAUUAGAAAAACACUUCUAGGGAUAGUUUCAUAAUUCCUGUUAUCUGGACAGAGUGAUACACCACCCCCAUUAAUGAAUCACAUGACGGUGCAUUUUUCACCUUGCACCACAGCACCACGGCGUGUGUUUUCUCUCUUCCACAGGAACUGACUGAUAUUCUCAGCAGCCAAUCUGUCCUCACUGACAGGCACUCAAGAGGUUAAAUUGACAAUAGACCCAGUGAUAAUUUAAGGGCCACAGUACUAACCCCCCAUGUCAGUUGAUUCAGCUUUAAAUGAAUACACCCUCUUGGGUUGUAAAAAGUUUUACCACUAAGGUAUCUCUCAUUUACUGUGUUCUUUUAAAAUUGUAAAAGCGUACUAAAAUAUUGAAGGAUUUUUGUUUGAUUUUUUUUAUUCCUUGUUACCACAACUAAAAAACAAACAAAUAUUACAUUGGGGACACAGAGACAUGGGGACACAGACACCGUGAGACAUGGAGACACAGGUAGACCUCUGGGGAUGCUGAGACACUUGGGGACACUUGGAGACACAGGGACACACACACAUGGGGACACUGAGACACAUGGGGACACAGGGAGACCUCUGGGGACACAGACACUUGGAGACAUGGGGACACUGAGAAAUGGGAGCACUGAAACACUAGGGGAUGCUGGGAGAUAUGGAGAUACAAACACACAUGGGGACACUAGGGGACACUGAGAUAUGGGGAAACAAACACACAUGGGGACACUAAGACACUUGGGGACACUGGAUGACAUGGGGACACUGAGACACUAGGGAGACAAUGUUCCCAAGUGUCUCAGUGUCCCCAUGUCUCCCAGCCAAUGUCCCUGGUGUCCCCAUGUCUCCCAGUGUCCCUAGUGUCUCAGUGUCCCCAUGUCUCCCAGUGUCUGUGUCUCCAUGUCUCCCAGUGUUCCUAAGUGACUCGGUGUCCCCAAGUGUCAUGGGGACACUGGUAGACACGGGGACACAGACACUAGGGGACACUGAGCAAAAUGGGGACACUGGGAGACAUGGGGACACAGAGACAUAGGGACACUGUAUUACAUAGUUUCAGUGUCCCCAAGUCUCCCAGUGUCCCCCCAAGUGUCUCAGUGUCUCCAGGUCUCACAGUGUCCCCUAGUGACAUGGGGACACUGGGAGACAGGGCGACACUGGGGGCAAUCCAGGUAUACAGCAGAAUGAAACUGUAAGUAGUUUUUUGUAAGAGUAGUAAGAGUAGCAGUAAUUUACUCUUACUCUUUGUGAUUUACAUCAUGUGAUGUCACACAUACAUAAUUAGUUAUGCAAAUUAGUAGAGGCCUGUAUUUUUUCCAAGAAAGGUGGCAACCCUAACUACUCUUCACAUACUCUUGCUUAAGUAUGGAAACUUAAGAGGGAUAUAUGAAAACAAAAUGUGUGUGGACUAGCUGAAAUGUAAUCAGUUAAGGUAAUGCUGACUUUGGUCUCUCUAAAACUGUGGCAUAUUCCCUUUCUUCUACAUUCACUACAUCCACCUUUUCUCUGUCUCAGACUGUAUACCAGGAGCUUCUGUCUGCUAGUAAGGAGAUAAGUGGACAUGUGAGUGCUAGGGGACAGUUAUUAGAAAGCAUGGAUUGAGCACAUAAUUAGACGCAUUUAUGCCAAGCUCAGGAUGCUGUUGGCCAGCAUGCAUGAUUGGUAGGCAGCCUGACAUGCAUUCAUGCCAGGCAGCCUUCCAAUUCUUUGGGCAGACAUGCCUCCUUUUUGGGCAUGUUCGUACCUUUCGGGAGUUUGGGUUAUAUGUUCUGCAUAAGUUGCCCACCUUUUUACACCGCCCAUUGACUUCCUCAUUCACUGGACACUGCUGUUAGGGGGUAUGGAUUUACUUGAACGAUGAAAGCAUGAAUUAGAGAGAGAUUAUCAUAUUUUAAGAGAGUCUGAGUUGUCUUAUAGCUGCAUCCUGUUAGUUUCCCUCCGGCAACAUCUCCACUAGAUACAUAACCCUUAAGAGGUAUGACUGUUUUUGUUCAAUAAGAUUCUGUACCUAGGCCCCUCAUAAUUGCCAGCACCAGGCCCACUGGGUUCUUAAUCUGGCCCUGCUCUUAGGUGAUAGAUAUUGAUUUUAUUAAUCAGCCACAGACUUAUUCUGUCAUGGUCCUGGCACCAUGAAAAAAAAAAAAAAAAGAGGUAGUAUGGUUUAUAUGAAGUAAGAUUCAUUUAUUGAACCUCAUUAUAAAAUUAUAUUUUAACCCCUUAAGGACAAGCCUGUUUUUGCGAUGUUGUAUGUUAAGGACCAGAUCAGUUUUGACACUUUUGUGGUGUUUGUGUUUAGCUGUAAUUUUACUCUCUCUCAUUUAGGGUUCCCAUACAAGUUAUAUAUUGCUUUUUUCAGGACAAGAAGGGCUUUCUGUGACAGACCCAUCCGUAUGGACUAAAAGUACUGUGUUCGUCUGUUUUGCCAUUUGCAUGAAUUUCCCCAUUCCUAUGCCUUAGGUAAGGGAAUGUAUUUUUUUUGUCGAACGGAACUACCGAACGGACGGCCACCCCGAAGAGAAGUAUGAUGCUGGUUAACCUAUUGAUCCCAAUUAGAACGUUGCGGUUAACCACAGACACUUCUCAAUUAAAACCGAAUACUGGGUGGUCGCCGUUCGUAUGUCGACCACGAGGCGGUGGCCAUUUUGACUAUGUGAAAGCCCAGCGGUGUUCGACGAUUAUUUCAUGGAACUCAAAACGGACACUUUUUCAACCGAACACCGCUGAAGCCGUCGACCUCCCCUUCUCAAUCGACAAAAGCAUACGAAUACCGGCCGUUCGGGAGAUUUAACAACACAAAUGGACUUAACCCAGAUAGCCUUCCCAUGGAGUCAAUCGCAUACCGAAGAGCUGUAAUAGACUUUGACUCCAUGGCGAUUGAACUAUGCGUAUGGGAUCUGAGCGCUAUUCGCCAAUAAUAUGCACUCAGAUCCAGGCUAUCUGGGGAUGUGUUAUACGAAUGCAAUACGUUCGGCAGUUAUAAAGUUAUGGAUUUUAAUGUGUUUUAUAACUUUAAGUUAAAAUGGUGAUGUGCCUCUGCUCGGGGAGAUAAUUGAAUUACUUCCCAAUUAUCUCCCGAGCAGAGGGGAGGAAACUGUGAUGCAUGCUGGGAAUAUUAUGGGGUUGUAUGUCUGUUAUUUCAGUCUCCCAUUUGGUCCCCUAGGGGAGUGUCCACCAAGUGGGAGACCUGCAUAAAUACGGGCAGGUAGCCCACAGUAAACUCAGUUCGUGUUUUACCCUCAAAGCGGAGCUUGGUCUCGUUAUUGGGGGGAUUUUAUUACCGGCGACUAGAGACUGCUUAUUGGGAUUAUUUGCCGCUUGGGAACUAUUGCCGUUCGGCUGCUCUUGGCGAUUCGUGCAUUUGGAGCUCGAGAAGGGAAAGAGCCGUACAGGUACCGUUCGGGAGUUUGGAGUGUUCCCUAGCUGGUGGUUCGCAUGGUUACACUGCAUACGCUACCAGACCACAUUAUUGCGAACGGGGAGCAUUCACUAAACGGCGGUUUGUGCAUUUACUACUGGAGGUACCGUAACACUUUCUUUACAUACCAUUAUUUGUAUCAUGUCAUAUAUUUUAUUUAAAAAAAAUAAUUAUAAAAUAUGGUGAAAAAUUGAAAAAGAAAACAUGUUUUUGGAUUUUUACUUGAAAAAUCUUUUACUUAUCUACAAAAGCUAAUGAAAAAAACUGCUAAAUAGAUUAAACAUGUUGUCCUGAGUUUAAAAACACCCAGUGUUUACAUGCUUUAUUGCUUUUUUUUGCAAGCUAUAGGCCUAUAAAUACAAGUAGAAAAUUGCUGUUUCAAUAUAUAUAUUUUAAAUUUAUCAAUAGUGACAUUGUAACACCGUUAUCUGUCAUAAAUCCCCGAAUCACACCUCACAUAUACAUAUUUUUUUAAAGUAGACAACCCCGGGUAUUCAAUAUGGGGUAUGUCCAGUCUUUUUUAGUAGCCACCUAGUCACAAACAUUGGCCAAAGUUAGCAUUUAUAUUUGUUUGUGUGUUAAAAUUGCAAAAAACGCUAGCUUUGGCCAGUGUUUGUGACUAAAAGUGGUUACUAAAAAAGGCUGAAUAUACCCCAUUUGCAAUGCCUUGGGUUGUCUUCUUUUGCAAAUGCGCAGGGCCGCCACCAGAAAUUUUGGGGCCCCUAACUCAGCUUAGGGUCUGGGACCCCUGGGGCCCGCCUCCAAAUACCGCCCACAGGGUCCGCCUCCAAAUACCACCCACAGGAAUACACACACAGACACAAACACUGAUACAAAAGGACACAGAUACAUACUAACAGACACACAUACUGAAACAGACAUACACGCAUACAGGCAUACAUACUGACACACACACACAUACAUUUAAUACUACAAUGUUUUGUGUAUUUCCUAUUAUAUAUUCGACCAUAAUACCGAACUCUAUUAAAUGUUGUUAUUUGUUGCUUAAUUAUUAUAUAUAAAUUAAUAUUCAUAUUUAAGUCACGACUAUAACACUAAUAGAGUUCGGUAUUAUGGUCGAAUAUAUAAUAGGAAAUACACAAAACAUUGUAGUAUUAAAUGUAUAUUUAAUAUAAUUAUAAUAACAAUUAAACAAAUGCUAGCAGAAUGUCAAUUUACCACAAUAAUUACACAAUACAAAACUACAACAUUACUUACAAAAGGCUAUAACAGUUGCUAGCUGUUAUUCAACAUUUUACUUACAAGGCCCCAGCCCUUUGGCUGGGGUUAAGUCAGAGCUGGUACUACAUGAUCAGUCAGGUACAGGCAAAAACAGAGAGCUAGCUUCUCCUCACAUCUGGGUUUUUAUUCAGUGUAAGUAGGCUGGCCUGUGAUGUCACUGCCAGAAGCACAGGUCUUCCUACACACUCCCCCUAAUGGUGCCCCCAAAGCAUUACACUAAAUAUGCUUUACUGACAUCUAGUGGUGCGUCUAAAGCAUUAAGCUCAUUAUGCUUUUUUUUAUGACAAAAAGUCAUUAAUUAAUAAAUACCAUUACACAUACACACAUACAUUCAUAAUGGCUUACAAACAUACACUCAUAAUGGCAUACAGACAUACAUACAUACAUUCAGACUGACAUACAUGCAUAUAUACAGACAUACUGACAGACAUACAUGCAUCCAGACAUCCAUACACACAUACACACAGACAUACGUUCAUAAUGAUAUGCAGACAUACAUUCAUACUGACAUGCAGACAUACAUAUAUACAUAUAUAAUUGUAACGGACCGUUUUGCACACAAGGGGUUAAAAUCGUUUAGGCGAUCGUCCCCUUUCAGAGAUGCAGGCACAGCUACUGUAGAACACCAAACUCCCAAACCGCAAAUAAGGGAAUGCUCCAAUCUCCUGAACUGCAUACAAUAUAACACUCCAAACUCACGAACUGGAACCAUAUGAAUAGCUGCUAGCAGACGAAUAGGAAAAGCAUCCAAGUGGCUUACACUCCUAGCAAUCAGUCUCUAUCAGCAUUCAGUAAAUCCCCCCCAAAGACGAGACAAGGCUCCGUGUUGAGGGUCAAGCAGUGGUCUGUUUAAUGAGGGCUACCUGCCCAGUAUUUAUGCAGGUCACCCACCUGGUGGACACUCCCCUAGGGGACCAAAUGGGAGACUGUGAUAAAAGACAGACAAGUAUCAAUUUAGGACACACAGACACAUUGUAUUCCCACAAUGCAUCCUGGCUUCCUCCCCUCUGCCCUGGAGAUAAUUGAGAAGUAAUUCAAUUAUCUCCCAGGACAAAGGCAAAUCACCAUUAUGCACGUGGGGAUACUAAAACAAGAAUUAUUAUUAAAAUACACCAUGUAGGACAUGUUACAUUAAAACUAUACAUUUAACAUAUCCCCAGAUAGCUCAGGUCUGAGCGCACAUUAUUAAGCGAAUGGCGCUCAGACCACACGAAUACAGUUCAAUCCCCAUGGAGCCAAAGUCUUUACAAAGUUAGUUCUCAUACGAAUGAGCUCCAUGGGAUUCCUAUCUGGGGUAUAAUACAGUCAGGUAAAACUACUGAACACCGGGCCAUUCGUGCACUCCCGCCGAACAAGAAGGGAGGUCGGCGGCUUCAGCGGUGUUUGCGCCAAACUGUGUCCAUUUUUAGUUCCAUGAGUUAGGCGUCGAACACCGCUGUGCAUUCGCAUGUUUAAAAUGGCCGCGACCUCGUGUUCGUGAUACGAAUGGUGUCCACCCAGUAUUCGUCAAUUAAGCUGCGGUUAACCGCAGCUUCUGGAAGAUCAAUUGCCGGCACACUCCAGCUCCCAGGUGGUCUAGUCAUUCGUGCGGUUGUUCGGUAGAUUGAAUCUACCGAACACCGGGCAGAAAAGCAUGAAUAAGUCUUUUCUGCAGGGGAAACAAAGUCUUUUAACAUGGGGCCAUAAUCCAGAGGCAGCAGGCGAGCAACCAGGCUUCUCCAAUGCAAUGUGGCGAGAUUGCUCUUGUCACAAUAAUGACAUAAAGACAUACAUAUAUACAUACAUAUAUAAUGACAUACAGACAUGCAUAUAUAUAAAUUUACAAUACUGGACAUAAUACAGGCAUUCGUGUCCCCAGUUGGCUGGGAUCUGAGCGCACAAAAGUACCAAAUAGCGCUCAGAUCCUAUGCACACAGUAGAAUCGCCGUGGAAGUGUUCACAAAGUCUGUUCUCCAUACGAAUAGACUCCAUGGGAUGGCUAUCUGGGGUAUGGCUUAUUCGUGGACAAAAUACCGAAUACAGGGAUUUUCGGGAAUUCUCUACCAAAGGAGAAGGGAGGUCAGCAGCUUCAACGGUGUUCUGGCCAAAAAGUGUCCGUUUUGAGUUCCAUGGGUUUACUGUUGAACACCGCUGAGCGUUCGCGGAUUUAAAAUGGCUGCGACCUCGUGUUCGGGAUACGAAUGGCGGCCACCCAGCUACAGGUAUCAAUUAAAAGGUGUCUGCGGUUAACCUCAACGUUCGAAUGGGGCCAAGAGGUUAACCAGCAGAACACUUCUCUACUGGGUGGCCGGCCGUUCGGGAGUUUUAUUCGGUAGUAAAAAAAAAAAAGGGAAUGGUAUCGAGUCCACAUGAACUGGAAAACAUGAAUUAAACCAGCGAAUGAACAAUAAGUCUCUGUAAGUUCAAGACAGAGAGAUCUGUCGCAAUAUCAUUACAUUCUAAGUGUAUUUUGAUUAUAUAUAUAUAUAUAUAUAUUAAUAUCAAAAUACUAUUGGAAUAAAAUUACAUAUAUAUAUAUAUAUAUAUAUAUAUAUAUAUAUUUUUUUUUUAUUAACAUAUUACUUAUAAUAAUAUAUAUACAUAUAUAUAUAUAUAUAUACACACACACAUGUGUGUAAUUUAAAUAUAAGUGUAUUUUUAUAUUAAUAUAUGUAAAUAUAAAAAUACACUUAGUAUGACAUUAUAUAUAUAUAUAUACACACACACACACACUUUUUUUUUUUUUUUACACUAAUUGAUUAUUUUUUUUAAAACUUUUUUUUAUGAUUUUUCACUUGCAGGGAGACUGCCUGUCAGCACAGACAGUCCCCCUGCAGGCAGAUACACAGGCACCUUUUGUAGCCACGUGAUCGUGCGAUCACGUGGCCGCGGGGUCCUGAUCUGCCGUGGGAAGACUGUCUGUGCAGACAGGCAGACCCCCUGGACCAGGAGGAGCGCUGAUCGCCGCCGGGGGAACGACAGCGAUCAGGUAAGUAACCCCAGACCGUUAUGAUGGUUCAGGACCAUCAUCGGUCUUCAAGGGGAUGUUUCCGAUGACGGUCCUGAAUUGGUCGUCAAGGGGUUAAUAAUGAUCAGAGAAUUUAUGCUAAAAAUAGUAUGUUUAGAAGUGAGGCUAUUGUAAUCUAUUAAACUAAGGUAUUAUAUUUGUAAAUUGAAAGCAUUUUUCAGCAAACUGACUCAGAAGAAGAUAUAGAUAAUAUACUCAUUUAACAGGAGAAGAGUGUGUUGUUUAGGUGAUAAUGUUUAUUCAUUAGAGGGAACAAAAGCCUCAAGUUAGAAGUAAGAGAUUAAUCAAUCAUUGAAGAAUUUCUGCAUUUUUAUGAGGUUUAAUAGUUCAGACAAUGUCUUCAUUUUUUUUUUUAUAUUUAGAUGGUUUUUAUGUUUUUAACAUUUGAUAUAUGAGUGUUUUUGAAAAGCUAUUAUUUAGAAGUUAAUCCAAGAUUAUUAAAUUAAUUAACAGGGAUUAUUACAUUUUAAAUUCAUUAAAUUAUUAAAGUUUAAGUUUAGGAACCAAGUUUUAUUGGGAAUUAUCCCCAUAAGUAUAUGUUAAAAUUAUGUACAGAAUUAGUCUGUCAGUCGCUGGAUAGAGAAAGCAUUUUAGUACUCAUACUGUCCAAUCAAGCGUUUAUGUAAAGUGAAUGCUUCUCCAAUCAAUAUAAAAGUGUUCUGAAAAUCUGAGAGAGGUACAUGAUACACAAGUUAAUGGUUUAACUUUAAGUUUUGAUUUAACUUUUAGUCUAGGUGACAGAUUAAUUGAUGAUAAGAAAUAUAUUAUGUCGGAUUGAUCCUUGUGUCUGUAUGAUUGUAGACACCGUCCUGGAGUGCUUGUGCCGCCAGAUUCUUGGGACCUGCUCACCUAUCUCUCUCCUCUGGCUGACCCUACACUACCUUUUUUACAAUUGCAUCUGUUUGCCCACAACCCAUGCAGGACGAAGAAAUGGAAGAUGCUUACUUAUGAAAACAUAAAAUUUGCAAGCAAGUAUCGGAAAAGGGCUAUCUAAUGCCGCAAGUUCUGUAAUAACCCUUUCAACAAUUGGGGUGUCGCACAGAGCUUUGUGGUGAAAAUCCAGCAACUAAAAGGAAGAACUAUGUGGAAGCUGACAUUGCCUUGUUGUCGGCCAUCUUGCUACUAUUAGCCAUUCUUCUAAAACAACUUAUGGUGUCCAAAAUGAUUUCCUUAUAUUCCUUGAAAGACUUGUUUUUUUUUCCUUUCCAGAACCAUGCUAAACUAUGGAAGCUGAACUAUUUUGCAAUUUUUUUAAAUCUUAAUUUAAAUUUUUAAAGAGUUAGCUCGAGAGAGAGGAAGAGUUAGCUAGCCCAGAGACAGAUGUAGAAUGUAUGUUUUUGAUGUAUGUUGUAUGUGUUAAGGAUAGAUUCCACACGGUUUGAACUUGCUUUCAUAGAGAAGUGUACCUCCCAUGAGACAGACAAUAUUUACUAAGCAGCCUCAAUAUUGCUUUACUUCCCACUGGCUUGCAUCAUUGUAAUAAUUUGAUUGUAUAUUUAGGUCAGGAGGUUAUUGGGAAGGAAUAGCAAAGAAGAGACUAUGGGAAACUCUUCCUGUUAUUCUACUUUUUUGUCGCUAUUUUUGUCUUUGUACAAUUAAUGCAAUUAUUUGAGAUUUUACAAAUAAUGAUAUGGAGGAUUGACUAGGCAACAUUGAAAGAAUUGUUGCACAUUUGGUAAUAAUUUUUUCCUCUGAGUAUGUAAUUCAUACUAGUUAAGUGCUUAUUGCAAACCUUUAGACUUAUAUUACCUUUUGACGCUGGUACCCUGGCGUCCAGGCCUUCUGAUUCGGCCCGCCCUAUUUCAAGGUAUAAGCAUUUAGGGUGGGGUGACUGUAGCUGGAGUUUUGGGCACAGGUUACCCACUUAAGGCGUUAGACCACAACAUCAUUAAAUUAUACCUUAAACCGCACUGGGAAUGACGUGUCUAUAUGGUCAGGUUUUCUCCAUUCUGAGUUUUUCCUGGCCCAGAUCACCAGGCAGACAAGGUAAUCCUGUACCCUUAUUAACACAAGGGAUAGAUAUUAUUCCCAAUGGGUAAUAUGUGUUCACAAUUUGUUACGUGGGUAUUGUGAACAACAGGAGGGGUUUAUGGGAAAUUGUUUUACAUGUGCAAUGCUUAGUGAAUAUUCCCCUAGACAUACAGAGCUUUGAAUAUAUGCGUUAAGCUUUGGCUGUAUUGCAUACUGAGACACUAAUAACAUAUUUUAUCCUGUAUCUACAAAUACCUGAACAGGUCUUGCUCGAUGGUUUGUGGUGGGAGGGGAGCACAGGGAAUAGAGGUGAAGUGCUAAUUAAAGGGACACUCCAGGCACCCAGACCACUCCUGCCCAUUGGAGUGGUCUGGGUGCCAACUCCCACUACCCUUAACCAUGCAAGUGUAAUUAGUGUAGUUUUUCAUAAACUGCACUAAUUGCCUAAUAGGAUUAAGUCCUCCUCUAGUGGCUGUCUAUGAGACAGCCACGAGAGGAGCUUCCAGGUUCUUAAAACACUUUUAGUGUUUUAAGAGAUGCUGGACGUCCUCACGCAAUGCACCGGAAGCUUCCCUGGAAUCCCCAUAGGAAAGCAUAGGAAAGCCGCGUAUGCGUUGACGUCAGCAGGGAGGAGAGUUGGCGGAGCCUGACCCAGUGCUGAGGGACAUCGGCGCUGGAUACAGGUAAGUCACUGAAGGGGUUAGGAGGUGGGAGGGAGAGGGAGAGGGGACCUGCAGUGCCAGGAAAACAGUUUGUUUUCCUGGCACUGGAGAGUCCCUUUAAAGGCCCACAGGUAUAAUUAGUACAUCUGGAGAUAACUUGCCUAACUCACCUGCAAUACCAGAGAAAACCAUAGAUACAUGUAAAUAAAGGGUUAAACUCGCAUUCUUUAAAAAUACCAUAUUUUUCUUUUGAGAGCCUGACACUAGUUUCCACUAUUGUGUAUAAACAUCCUGCCAUUGGAAAAUAUAACAUUCUCUCUAAGCACCUGAACAUUUUAAUUGGGUUCCUAAAUCAAAGAUUGUCAUGUACACCAGUUAUUGCCUUAGGUAAGUCUUUCCACGUCUGUAGGGGUUAAAAGUAAGAAUUUUCUCUCUUGGCUGCAAUCAGUACUCCCUGUUUUUUUCACAGAGCAAUCUGACACAUAGAAACUGAUAGUUUUGAGAAGUAGUGCUAGACAUGCGCAGUAAAAUAACUAAUUCAUAAUGUUAUAUGAAUAAUUGUACUGUUUGCACUGAACGUCUAUGAUUGGUUGAUUUUGUGUUCUGUUGGAUACACCCCUAUGGAAUAAAAUACAAUGCACACACAUUAAAAAGCUACUUCUUUCUUAAA
rnacentral:lncRNA from 1 species